GUUAAGGAUUUAGCUAUUAUUUUUGAAUAAUUUCAAAUAGAGAGAUUAUUGAAUGAAUCCAACAUGAUGGAAAUAAGUUGGUUUCAAUUUACAAGCAUUUCCUGUAACAAUGCGCGGUUUGAAUCAGCUCGUGAGCGCGAGGCACGCAUGCGCUGGAGUUUCCCGCUGACAACCUGGAGGCAAGGCUGAUCGCUGCUCUUGUUCAGUUAUUUUCUCAAAGGACCUGACCUGGUGAUCUGCCAGGACGUUCAGCACUAAUCUACAGUAACAAACACGGGCAACAGUGAAGCGUAAUUGCAAAAGAGAAUUUAGAAGAACAAUGAAAAGAUGAUAAAGGAGAUGAACAAAACUUCGACGACACAAAAUCAUUAAUCAAUGUCCACUUGUGCAAGACAUAAAGGAACGAUGGACAGCCCUAUUUCAUUCUUCUCAAGUGAAUGCAGAAUUUUAAAGAAUAACCACUGUGCAGCUGAAACCUGAACUGGUCCUCACUGGAUCUUCACUCUCCCAAGCUCUUGACAACGGUUUCAUGCCAAAGGAGGAGCACUUGAAAAAAGACUGAAGACUGAGAUGGAGCUACUGAAGGAUGAGCAGUCUUCUGUUGAUAUGACAAGAGAGGUGGUCAUCAGCUGCAUUAUAGAAUUCCUUAAGGGACAUGCAGGAGAGCUCAUCAAAGAAAUGAAAGACAAUGAAGACCAGACAGGAAUUGGACAGCUUGUGAUGGCAGCAAUUGGGACCAAGACGGGAGCUAUCAUUGACAGUCGAAAGGACAUUGGAACUGUUAUCGAGGGGGAAAAAAGUUGUUACAGGCCUUGAAGGUGUUCCCAGGGCUUGCUAUAUCCUCCUUGGUUUGACGUAUGCACUGAAUCUCCAUUAUCCCAGGAAUGUAAAGUAUAGUUUGAGGUAUUUCAGAAACUUAUCAUGGAGCUGGAUGCUUCAAAGCUGUCAAACAGAGUCUAGUCACUCAGGUCUAAACUGCUGACUUAAAAUAAGAUGGUUUUAUCUGUUCUGUGGUUCCAUGUUGCCAAACAAAGACCUCACAUAUUUGAACAUUUUGUGUCUAGAAAGAGAAAAAUGCCCCCAAAAAGGUAAUUGCAUUGUGUAUUUUAAAAUAUUUGUUCCUAAAAAGAAACACAAAAAGUGACUUUAUUCUGCAGACUUGAAUUUAUAUGCCUUAGAAAGUAAUUGUGGAUAAAAAAACAGUUGAUUCUGUUGAGAGACUAGUAAAUGUUCCCUCUGUCUGAGAAUACUAAUAGAUGCUACUGUAACUGUUGUUGGCAAUAAAGCAGAAGUUUGUAAUUCAUCUUAA